UACGUAGGGUGCGAGCGUUAAUCGGAAUUACUGGGCGUAAAGCGUGCGCAGGCGGCGCGUUAAGACAGGUGUGAAAGCCCCGAGCUUAACUUGGGAAUUGCGCUUGUGACUGGCGUGCUGGAGUGUGGCAGAGGGAGGUGGAAUUCCACGUGUAGCAGUGAAAUGCGUAGAGAUGUGGAGGAACACCGAUGGCGAAGACAGCCUCCUGGGCCAGCACUGACGCUCAUGCACGAAAGCGUGGGGAGCAAACAGG
rnacentral:rRNA from 1 species